rnacentral:rRNA from 1 species
CAAGGUCUCCUUUGGUGAACCAGCGGAGGGAUCAUUA